AGAGUUUGAUCCUGGCUCAGAACGAACGCUGGCGGCGUGCCUAACACAUGCAAGUCGAACGGAGUGAAGGAGCUUGCUCUUUCAUUUAGUGGCGCACGGGUGAGUAACGCGUAGAUAAUCUGCCUUGGACUCUGGGAUAACAUCUCGAAAGGGGUGCUAAUACCGGAUAAGCCCACGAUGGCGUAAGUCAUUGCGGGAAAAGGGGGCCUCUGAAUAUGCUCCUGAUUCAAGAUGAGUCUGCGUACCAUUAGCUAGUUGGUGGGGUAAAGGCCUACCAAGGCGACGAUCCGUAGCUGGUCUGAGAGGACGACCAGCCACACUGGGACUGAGACACGGCCCAGACUCCUACGGGAGGCAGCAGUGGGGAAUUUUGGACAAUGGGGGCAACCCUGAUCCAGCAAUGCCGCGUGUGUGAAGAAGGCCUUCGGGUUGUAAAGCACUUUUGUCCGGGAAGAAAUCCCCUGCCCUAAUACGGCGGGGGGAUGACGGUACCGGAAGAAUAAGCACCGGCUAACUACGUGCCAGCAGCCGCGGUAAA
rnacentral:rRNA from 1 species